UUACUGCCGCUGGUGAGCACCUUCUCCCUGCAUUGUCAGUGACACCCACAAGGCAGUUCCUGCAUCAGAAACUAGUCCGUCUGGUCCACAGACGGACUAGUCCAUCCCCUCACAGAGCGGAGCAGAGGGGCCCAAAUGUAAAGUUGGAGCUACAUAAUGAACGCCUCGCCGGUUUUCCUUAUUCCCUCCGUCUGCCAUAGAAAAGUGAACUUGAGGUUCUUGGUGAGUUUGGGCCGGGACCCUGUGGCUGCCUGGUCCCGGAGAUAAGUCCUUGGGAUAAAAAUUGAGAGAGACAGAGACAGCAGGAAAGAGGAAGGCAGAGGGGGCGCAGCAGACGAGGCCGGGAGCCGUCCCUUCCUGGUCUUCUUGGCUGUGCGGGGCUCUGAGCCCGGGUCCUAGGCGGCGGCGGCGGCUUUGUUGGCGGCCGUCUCCGGGAGCAACCUUGAGCGCGGGCGCUGAGACAGUGAUUUAGGGGCUGGCAUUGAAGCGUGAAGGUAAAUGGCCACAUUUCACCGUCAGAAGGUGUGCGGGAGGCGCCCGCCCCUUCCCUUCCCCCAAGGCCCCGGGGGUGGGUGUGGGGAGCUGUCGCCGGCGCCUCCUUAGAUCCCGGCCGAAAUCCCUGAGCCCCUGCGGCGCCGGAGGAGGGAUGCCAGACGCCCAGCGCCUCCUUUCCCGACCCGUUGCUAUUUGGGGAAGCUAAGUGCUCUGGGACCACGGAGGAGGGCUCCACUGUCUCCGGUCCCAAAGCUGCUUCAGGAGAGAAGUUGAGAGGCCAAGGCCCAAAGCCCGAGGACCUGCGGGACUGUCUGCUUGCCAGGAGCGGGUGUGGGAGGCACCAUCUCCUUAACUCCUUACAGGGGUCCUGAGGCAGGAUCUGCCUUAUGCCCACAGUGCAGAUGUGGAAACUGAGGCUCAGGAGCUUAAGUGACCUGCUGAAGACCACCUGGCUGGGGAGGGAUGAGGAGGCAGGGCCGCAGGUCUGUGGGGACCACCCCCCCACCCUGUGUUCAGCCGCCUACGGCCCCAAUACAUUGCUUCCGGGAGCUCUGGGGUCUGGGUAGGGGUGGGGAGCUUGUGGGUGCAUGAAAUGUUGGCAUCCAGCAACCUCCUGCUGCUUUGAAGAUAAUACAUGAAAAUAAUACAUGCUCUUCAUAGUCAAAAAAUACAGAAAUGUGGGUGUGAUUAGAUAACCCUUCAUCUUGACCACUCUACCCCUUCCUCUGGGCAAAUCUUCCUUCCCGGAGACCCCUGCAUCGCUCCCGCAGUACUGAGCCCCUUGAACCCUCCCAGUUCUGAGUCAAGCACAUGUAAGUGGAAUGUUGAGAUGAGUAAUUUGAUUCAUUUUGUUAUUUUGCUGAGAAAAAGAGGGAAAAAGAAAGAGGGCCAGGCUGGGGCAUGUGUGCCUUGCUUGAGCAGGGACAUAACACUGCCGAUCGCCCCCAGCCCAUCACUGCCCAGGCUUGAGCCACAGAGAGAGGCAGAGUGGGGAGGAGGUGGGGCAAGAGUAAGCCCAGGGCGCAAGGUCAGGGAGGCCUCCAGAGGGUGGGAAGCAAACAGCUCCCUGGCUCCACUUGGGGCAGCUUUGGUCAUUUUUAUUCAUCAUAGCUGCUUUUUACUGGAUACCUACUAAGUGUUCAGUAUACUUUUCAUCAUGCCAGCAACCCCGUGAAGUAUGUAUUGUUACCCCCGUUUUAUAGAUAAGAGCACUGAGGCAGAGCCCCUGAUCUAAAAUCCAUUGCUGAGCGGUAGAGGCAGUGGAGCUGGGAUUGGACCUGAGUCCCGUUGACCCUAGAGAGAUUCUUCUCCCUGCUGUCCACUGCCUCUCUACUUCACUGGGGAGGGGAUUGUAGAGGCCUAGGGGGGCCCACCCAGAGCUCAAUGGGAAAGGAGGCUGGCAUUUACCUCCCUAGUGUGUUUUUCCUAGCGCCAGUUCUCCUAAGGAGUCUGGGUCAGACCCCAGGUCAGGGCAGAGGGUAGUCAGGUGCGGUAAGUGGAGGUCUGAGUUCUCAGCUGACAGUUUCCCUCAACCCUGGGCAGACAGGAGGCAAAGGCAGACGGAAGAGGGUCACUCUGUGUGUAUGUGUGGGGCUGUGGGUCCUGAGGUUCCAGAGGAAGGUACCCCGGAUGGGGCCUGGGGUGGGAGAGAGAUCACCUUUCAUGGUCUGAAUUACUCCUGGAGGGGCCAAAGAAACCAAGUAGAGAAAUUCCAUGGGGCCAGGGGGCAGGUGUAGACAUUCCAGGGAGUCUGUCCUCCCUAGGACGGGGCCUGUGUGGGAACAAAACCAGCCACGGGACCCAGGUGCACACAGGUUCAGGUGGUGGGGAAGAGAGGCCCAUUAUCAGAAAGCCCUAGUUCCUCAGACCCCAGUUAACUACGACAACUUCUAGUAGCUGUCAUUUAUUAAACACUGACUAGGUGCCCCGAACUGUGCUAAGCCUUCUCCUAAUCCUGACAGCCACCGUAUUCUGUAGGAACUCUAUUAACCCCAUCUGACAGAUGAGUAAACAGAGGCACAGUCUCCCCUGGGCUGACACUGUCUCCCAGGCCUGCUUCCUACCCCUAUAGGGGUGGGGCAGGGGGGCACGGCAUAUGGAGAGGGGGCUCCAAACCCUUGUAAUCUCAGCACAGGGCCUGGCUCCUGGAAGCCCUCAUUAGAAGCAGCUCUUAUUAUUACUCUUGGCUUUCGGUGGGUGCGGGGCGUUGGGUGGGGCCACCUUGCCUUUCAGCCCAUUAACUCCGUGCUCGGCUCUGAGAGCCAGGGUCCUGUCUUCUUACCCGGGGUCUCAGGGUACACCUCUCUUUCCCAACUUCUGAGUCUGCUCUUGUACCUCCACGUGACGCUUGAUCUAGGGAAGAUGCAUGUGGGAGCAUGUGUGUGUGUGAACGCGAUGAAAGGGAGUGGGUGGCUUCAGAGAUGUCUCUUGUCCUGUGAAGAAGGCCAGGUGGAGAGGCGGGAAGGGUGUCCCAGAAAGGUCCUUCCCAGAACAGGGUCUGAUCCUAGGUCUGGAAUUUCCCCAGCCUCCGUCAGAGUGGGGAGCUUCUGAGUCAGUCACCUGGAUGGAAGUGGGCUGCAUCAGGCUAACCUCUGUUUUUCUUUAAAUUUAUUUAUUUCUUUAUUUACUUACUUAUUUAUUGGCUGUGUUGGGUCUUCGUUGCUGCACACGGGCUUUCUGUAGUUGUGGUGAGCGGGGGCUACUCUUCAGUGCGGUGCGCUGGCCUCUCAUUGCAGUGGCUUCUCUUGUUGUGGAGCACGGGCUCUAGGGCACACGGGCUUCAGUAGUUGUGGCACGUGGGCUCAGCAGUUGUGGCUCACGGGCUCUAGAGCGCAGGCUCAGUAGUUGCGGCACACGGGCUUAGUUGCUCCGCGGCAUGUGGGGUCUUCCCAGACCAGGGAUGGAACCCAUGUCCCUGCAUUGGCAGGUGGAUUCUUAAGCACUUCACCACCAGGGAUGUCCCUAGGCUAACCUCUUUUCCUGUCAUCUACCUUCAUAGUGGUGACCAGACCAGGGGUCUGUCCUCUUUCUGGGUCCUUGGCCCUCUACUGCCCCCACCCUGGUCCUGGGCAGGGAUCCCAGAUUCCAGCUUGUCCAACCCCACCUUUUGACAGAUAAGGAAAGGGAAGCACAGAGAAAGGGAGUGACCUGCACAAGGUCACACAGCGAGUGUGUGGCAGGUCUGCCUUCUCUGGAUGAUGCUGGGGAAGGGAGCCAGAGGAGACUCUCCUAGGGCCCCCCCAGUUUGGAGGGGCCCCGGGAAGUCAGGGGUGCCCCCUCCCUCCUCUUUCCUGGGGUGUUGUCAGCUUGAGCACUGGCCACCCGCCCCCAUCCCCAUCCACGCACCAGGUGGAAUUGUCUUAAUGCAGCAAAUUGUUCGUACACAUGUAAGCAAAUAUCUCCUCAAAUUAUCUCGUAUCACCAAACAGGCUGCGAUGCUCACUGGUUGGAGGGCCGAGGUUGUCUUUCAAUCCGCUGAUGAUGGGGAGGGGGCAGGGGAGGGGGGCUGGCUGACACCAAAAAUAAACCAGCUGAGCGGGGAUGGUUGUCGCAAGGGGCAGAGCGAAGUUGUCAGGCGGCGAGAGUGUGUGAGGCGGCAGGACGAUAAUGUGGCAUGACACUUCUGAAAUGAGCGGCCCGUUGCCAUGGUGAGCAGCCAGGAGGGACCGGCUCUCCCGAGGCUGAAAUAAAACAUGCUUUAAAUGAUGUUUGAUUAGAAUUUAGAUCAUGUAACCGAAUACCUCAGUCCUCCUCUUCCCUGUGCUUUUCUGCUUUUCUUCUUUUCUUCUCAAUUCUCCCUUUCUCCCCUCCAUCCCCUCCCCUCCCUACCAGGGGCAGAAAGAUGUAUGCACACACUUGCACACACAUGCCCUUCUUCCCUCUCUCCUCUCCCCAGUUGUUCUAUGCCUUGGCUGGACCUUGUUUCAGAAAAUCCAGCUCAGAGAAGAUGCCGGGGACUCCUUGGUGGGGCCACAGCGCUGGCCUCGGGGUCCUGGUUUGAGUCUCUGCUGUUCUGCUCUAAUAACAGUAGCACUAAAACAAUUCACAAAACUCUUCCAAAUGAAAGCUCGUAUUUAUUCUCACCACAGCCCUUCGCCUAUUUGCCAUCAUACCCAUUUUAUAGAUGAGGAAGCCAAGGCUCAAAGAGGCCAAAUGUCUUGUCCAAGAUCACGCAGCUGGCGAGACGUGAAUCCAGCACGGCCAUGGGCUGCCCUUGGGGCUCUUGGGAGGAGCCUCUUUAGGAGGAAGGGAGCAGAGCCAGUUCUCCAGCCUCUGGACUCUCAGACCUUGACUUGUCUAACUUGUUUUGAAGUCCUACUUUGCUCUUGGUCUGCCUGUGUGAACCCCCCAAAGGAUGGGCAGAGAGGCCCCGACUUGCUUCCAGAGGGCUUUGGGACACACUUGGUGAUUUUCUGGCUACGUGCUCCUGCUCUUUUGUUUGGUAAUGGACAUAUAUCUGUGGUGGUUUUUCCAGGGCAUGCUGCCCAGGUGGGGAAGACAGCCAGUCCUGGGAACAGAGGGCACUGCUGCUGAUUAUCUAGAGUGGGCCACGGAGUGUAGGUUGGCAUGAAUGGACAGGGCAGGCAGGGGUGCUCCCGGAAUCUCCAUGGCUCUUGGUGCCCUGGAUUUUCUUGGAGGCCCUGGGGAGGUUAUCAUCAUCCUUCUUCUGUGUCAAAGAGACAUGGCUUGACCCAGUGUCCGUCUUCCCCAGCAGACCAGUGUCUCUAGAUUGUCUCUCUCACCAUCAGCCAGUCCAUCCAUGCAUUCACUUAGCCAUCACGUACUCGUUCAGCAUCAGCUGUGUGCCAGGGUGCUAACUGCAGAGGCAGCCCUGGUCUCUCCAGCUUCACAGGUGUGGGGCUUUGUGGGCCAAGGGCAGGUGACCUGGAGUCAAACACACACACACACGUGCACACACACACACACACACACACACACACACACACAGUCUCCUUCAGCGCAGAGUGUGAAGUGAUCUGAUGGAGGAGGAAGCAAAGUGCUCUGGGAACAUCAAGGAUGGGAGCCUCCCUGUGUAGGGUGGGGGCCAAGGAAGGCUUCUCAGAGGAGGUGAUAUGUGAAGAAAGACAAGGACUUCUCCGAGUGCUCAGACAGAAAGGACAGCCUGGGAGGAAAGCCCUCGAUGUGCAAAGGCCCACCGUCCCCAGCAGAUUGGAAGCUCCCUGGGUAGGUGGUGGGGGUCUGGGUCUCUCACAUCAGACUCUAAGCUUUUGAAAGGCAGAGACUGAGCCCCUGGGUAUCUCCCCCAAGAUGGGGUUACCCUAAGGGUGUGGGAGUGUCUUCUAUGUCUUUUACCUUUUCUCCAAAUCAAAAGGAAUUCAUUUCUUUGAAUAUCCUGUUAGCUCUGAAAGUAGGGGCCUCUCCUUAUAUGUAUAAGUGUCUGGCCUCCCUGGUGUCUGGCACAGGACCCGUUAUUCAAAAAUGAGUCAACAUCUAUUGAGUACUUACUGUGUACCUGGCAUUGUGGUAAAUGCUUUACACGUGAUUCACUCCUUGACCAGCACUUGACCAGCAACAAUUCCCUGGUGUUCCAAGGGCAGGAAAGAGCAAGCAGGGGGUUCGGCGAGGAGAGAAGCCAUGGAUCAGUGUCUGGGGUCCCCAAAGGGAAGAAUGGAGGGUGAGAGGAGCACACAGGUCUGGAAUAUUUAUCCAGUCAAGGUUGGGAAAGGCCAGAGGAAGUGGGGCCACUGAGACUGACUGGCAUGUGGCAGGGGCUGGCAGGGCAGCAAGAAAUGCAGGCUGGGGGGCAGCUAUCACCUAGAACCAGGUGUCUCUCUUCCCUCCCCCUCCCCUUGCCCAUCCGGUCACUACCAGCAUUUGAAUCCAGCCCUUCACUUGCAGCCCCACAGCCCCUGCCCUUGGCCACCAGUAUCCCUUGCUUGGACCUCUGCAGCCUUUCUCACUGGCUCCUCACCCCAGGCUCUCCUUCCCCCACCUUCCUCCACUGGCUACCUGUUACCUGCCUAUAACUUAAAUUUGAUUGCUUCAUUCCUGUGAUUCCUGUGUGCCAAAACCAUCAUGGCUCCCCAUGACCUGGGGGCUACAGCCCGGACCCCCCAGCCUGCUCUCAAGCCCCACCAUGAUGUGAUCCCAGCCUGCCUUUCUGGCCUUGUCUCUCUCAACUUCUCCUGUUCCAGAUUGGUCAGUUCUUGGUGCCCUUUCUUAUCUGCACCUGUGAAGACUCAGAGUGCCCUCCGCGAAUGCCCUCUCUCAUCCCCAAGUCAAGGCCGACUCAUUUCUUUCUUUGUAAGCUCGGCUCAAGUCUUUCCCACUCUUGGACCCCUUCCCUGACCAUUCCUUCCAGAAGGCAUGUAUCUUAGUCAGCUUGAGUUGCCAUAACAAAAUGCCAUAGACUGGGUGGGUUAAACAACAGAAAUGUAUUUUGCACAGUUCUGGGAAGUCCAAGGUCAAGGCACUGGCUCAUUUGGUUCCCUGGCCUGCAGAUGGCUGCUUUCUCUCUGGUGUCUUCACGUGGUGGACAGGGAGAGAGGGAGAGAGAGCUCUGGUCUCUCUUUCUCUUCUUGCAAGGGCACUAAUCCCAUCAUGGGGGCCCCUCCCUCAUGAUUUCAUUAAACCUAAUUACCUCCCAAAGGCCUCAGCUCCAAAUACCAUCACGUUGGGGGGUUAGAGCUUCAACAUAUGAAUCUGGUGCGGAACAACGUUCAGCCUAUAAUAGCAUGUCUGUUAUAUGCAGGUCAGAUUUUCAUGUUGUCUAAUUGUUUCAGGUUAUUUCCUCAAUUUGACUGUAAGCUCCCUGAGGAGCAAAUUUUGGAUGGCAAUAAUUGUGUGUUGAUACACCUGGUAAUAAUACCUACCUAUUCUAUUACAGGAUCUGAAAAAAGUUUAUACCCAAGGAUUUCCAUCCCCAGUCUUUACCCUUCCUCUGCCCCCAGGUUUCUGUAUUUGGCCCUUUGGGGCCUCAGUAGGCAUAGUGGGUUGGAAGGAAAGUUGAAAGAAGCCCAGAAAUCUUAGAAUAAUUUCCUUCAGAAACGGCAGAGCGUCCCUCCUGGCUGAAAAGUAUAGAAGAGGAUAAAAGGCAGAGGGGAGAGCAAGGAGAGCCAGGCACCUGCAGGUGCUGGGUUUGGUGAGGGCUGUGGAGCCCGAGACACCAUGGCCGAGCUAUGGGAGGGAGUGGGAGAUGGGAAAAGAAGACUCAAGUAGGUGUCACUUUGUCUUCUGAAUGUACAUGUCCUUUGAGAUGCUUGGUAGGAACUGAAGCUGCAUUUCCAUGUGUUUUGCUGAUGGACUGAUGUUUUCUCUGGAUGUAGCACCAAUGGAGACUGGCCACAGGUGACCUAGUUAGGUGAUUAUGCUGUCAUUUGGGCACCGCCUGCCCUGGGAUUAGGAGCUACCUUUACCUGUACUGUUUCUAGUUCGCAAAGUAACACAGCAAGGUCGGUGCUAGGAAUGCCAUUUUACUGAUGAGAAAACUAAGCUUCAGAGAAUUUAGGGACAUUGAGGGGAGAGAGAGAGGAGGAGAAGGAGUGAAUCUGGUCCUGACUCAGACCAGUAACCCUUGACCUCUAACCUCAGAGCUGUAUCUUAGGAUGGAGCCACCGUGCCCAUUAAGCUCCAUGUUGGGGGAGUUGUAGGAGGCUCAUUAGGCUGGAAAAUGAUUCUAUCAGCUCCGCUCUAUCUACGGGGUCAAAGGUGACCCAGGUCCAGGCCUCUGUAGCCUUCAGAGCCCGGAUGACAGUGUGAUUCGCUAACCUGGGAUAGCGGUCCUAUGAAGCCUGAAAUGGGAGAGAAUGGCAGGGACGGGGGUCCUGGGGGAUCUGCAGAGAAAGGGCUUGGGGCAGCUGGAGUACUGACCAGGAGGCCUUGCGGCCAAGGACAAUCUCGAUUGCACAGCUCACUGUCUCCCUGGGCUUCACCUGUUAGCACGUGGGGCCUCUUUCUUUGGUAAGGGGACAACCUUACAACUCAGAAUAACUUUAUUUGGGGGUAAAAGGUAGGGCUUGGUUCACCACAAUACAGGAGGAACACCCAGGGCUUGGAGGUCAGGAAACCUAGGUUCGAGGCCCCCAGAUUUGGUGCUAGGGGGUGCCUUAAUUUUGCUGUGUGCCUGAGUUUCUCCACUGAUAAGUUGUGGAUGCAAGAGCCAUGUUGCUUGUGUCACAUGUGCCACAGAAGUGACGGUGAUUGGAGAGGUCGAGUCCACUGUUCACAUGUGAGCUGGGUGAGGGUGGGAUCACAGUAACUCUUUAGUGAGAUGAAGCCUGUGAGGACCAGCCCAUCACAGGUUCACCCUUGGCGCUGACAGCCCCAUGAGGCGGGGCGUCCAUGGUGAGAUCUCUGCAGGGACAGGAAGGGGCCCAGGCAUGGCUGGAAUCUGUGGAAGGACAGAGCUGGAAGAGGGGUCCUGGCAGACAGGGCCUGCCACCCGUGUUUUUCAGGACCCUGUGGGAGAAAGAAUUCUCCCCUCCUUUAUUUUCUUUUUCACAUCUUUAUUGGAGUAUAAUUGCUUUACAAUGUUGUGUUAGUUUCUGCUGUACAACAAAGUGAAUCAGCUACAUGUAUACAUACAUCCCCAUAUCCCCUCCCUCUUGAGUCUCCCUCCCACCCUCCCUAUCCCACCCCUCUAGGUCGUCACAAAACAUCAAGUUGAUCUUCUUGUGCUGUACAGCUGCUUCCCACUAGCUAUCUAGUUUACGUUUGGUAGUGUAUAUAUGUCAAUGCUACUUUCUCACUUCAUCCCAGCUUCCUCUUCCCCCAUUGUGCCCUCAAGUCCGUUCUCUAUGUCUGCGUCUUUAUUCCUGCCCUGCCACUAGGUUCAUCAGUACCGCUUUUUAAAAUUCCAUGUAUAUGCGUUAGCAUAAGGUAUUUGUUUUUCUCUUUCUGACUUACUUCACUCUGUAUGACAGAAAUGGACCUGGGCCCUAUGGUCCUUGCCUGCCAUGUCCUCAGCCUGCCUUUUGUCUGUGGAAAAACUUUAGCCAAAGAAUAAGUUUAAUCAGAGAAGUGAGAAACAGAGGAAAACGUCAAAGGAGACAAAAUAAUAAUAGUUUACUCAUUAAGCAUAGACAGGGACCUUUAGUUCCCCUCAAGGGCUACAGAUAAUAUUCUGAGCCGUAUCCUGUGAGCUGUCUUAUAGAUACUGAAGCCCCCCCACCAGGUGGGAGAAGUUAACUACAUGAUGACCAGGCUGUAGCCGUGACACAAGCUGCCACAAUUCCGAGAACUGGCCUCGAAGAAAUGGGAGCAAACCGCACCUGGAACUGAAGAUUAACUGUACCUAAAACAAUCAAGAUGACACUGGUCAGACCACUGAUGACCAAUUUCAAGAUGACUGUCAGAGCUGACUGUACUGUUUCUACGUGUAGCCCCCUCCCUCUGUCUAUAAAAGCUCUUGCCCCCUGAUUGUCAGGGCGGGGAGUUGGCCUUUGGACAGGCGUCUGCCCUUGUCCCUGCUUGCCAGCAUCCAAAACAAAGCAAACUUUCCUUCCACCAACCUGGCCUCUUUACUGGCUUUUGAGUGGCGAGCAGCCGGACCCCACUUUCGAUUACACUUCCAUCAACCAACCUGGAGCCUAGCAAUGAACACUUCUGCCUCAGAACAACCCUAUGUAGAGGGUACUAUUUCAUUUAAUUUAUUUAUUUAUCUUUGGCUGUGCUGGGUCUUAGGUGCGGCCCGUGGGAUCUAGUUCCCUGAGCAGGGAUCGAUCCCAGGCUCCCUGCAUUGGGAACGCAGAGUCUUAACCACUGGACCACCAGGGAAGUCCCUAGGGUACGGUUUUAAUCCCCACUUUACAGAUGCAGAAACCAGAGCAGUUAAGUGACCUUCCCACCGUCACAGAGCAUAUAAACGGUGGAGUAAUGACUCAGUCUCGGAUGGUCCAGGGCUUGUACUGUGCUAUCCUGUCAGGAACUAAUCCUGAAUCCUUUAUGCUUCAGAGCACGACUCCUCAGCAAAAGGGACCUCAUUUGCCCCACAUGCCAAGGUCCCCUCCCCAUUCCCCAAACAGAAGACCUAGAUUUGAGUCCCCCCUGGCAGCUGCUCCCUGCUUAUGUGUUCUUGGGCAAGUUAGCUCAUCUGUAGAAUGGGUGGACACACAUUUGUUGAGAAUCUCUUAUGUGCCACAUUAUUUUUUUUUUUCGCCACACCACAUGGCUUGCAGGAUCUCAGUCCCCCGACUAGGGAUCAAACCCGGACCCCGGCAGUGAAAGCACUGAGUCCUAACCACUGGACAGCCAGGGAAUUCCCUCAUGUGCCACAUUUAAUUUAAACCUCACUGCAACCUGAGAUUGGCAUUAUUUCCUCCGAUUAACAGCUGGGGAAGUUGAGGCACAGAGGGGUGAAGCAAAGUCCCCAAGGAACUGAUAUGAAGCUUAGUCUAUCUUAUGCUCUUUCCACUUCCCCUCAUUUCUCAAGUUGUAAUCCAUAAAGCCUCAAUUCCUGGGGGGGUUCAUAAGUGUUAAUGUGAAAAAAAAAUUCCGUGAUCAACUCUGUUUAGGGAAGGCUCUUUUCAAAAAGUUAAAGAGGUUAUUUGCUGCAGGACUUUUCAGAGCCUUUAUUAUGCUGGUGUGCCUUGAGGAGUUCCAAGAGAAGAGCAGAGUUAGUAUUAACUUCUUUGCUGUGAAAAAGUUAGUUGGGGAGAAUCUUGUGGGAGAAGCAUUCCUUGGAGCUCACUUUGGGAAAAGCUGUACCUCACCCCACUGCUUCCCUGAUAACAAUAGUGGUGACAGUAGCAAUAACAGUAACACGGUGAAAGAGAUCAUCAGGAUCAUGUUAGUUUUGCAUCAAUUGCAAUGAUAUUUUUCUGUGCACGACUUUUUUUGUUUUUGGCUUAGCCUUGCGGCACGUGGGUCUUAGUUCCCUGACCAGGGAUCGAACCCGGGCCCCCUGCAGUACAGGCGCGGAGUCUGAACCACUGGACCAUCAGGGAAGUCCCUGUGCACGAUUUUUUGGAGCCUUUUUCUGCAUUCCCCCACCCCCAACCCACUGCUGAUUUAAGCGCCCUGAUCCCUUCCUUGAGCUCAGGGCACUUCCGGCCCACAGGGGCUCAUUGUUCCUGUGCCUGGGUCUCCUUUCUCCUUACCUCCAAGCCUUUGCCUGGUGGUGCCCCUCAGGUUGCCCUCCCCUUCCUCCCGCUCCUUGCCUUGCUCCGGAGGAAAGUGAAGGAGGCUCGGAAAGGGGAAGCGAUGUGUCCGGGGCAUGUGGUGAGAUGGGCACCCCGCAUCUCCUGCCCCUCUUCCACAGCCCACCUGCACAGGACACCCCUCUUCUGAGAAGCAUCCCUGAUGGACUCAUCCCAGGGCCAACCACGAGCUAUUCUGGUUCUCUCUCAGUCCUUUCAUACUUGGUCUAUAUUAUGCACUGCAAAACGAAGUCAGGGCUGUCUUUGGUGUACCAUAUUUAUUUUAAAAAACAGGUUUGUUUAAAGUAUAAUUUAUAAGCCAUAAAAUUUACCCAUUAUCAUAUUCGUUUUAAAAUUGUUUAUUAUAAUUUUACUUUUUUUACAUAGAGAAAAGAGCACAAAUCAGUACAGGGAGUGAUGAAUUUUUACAAAGUAAAACCCCUGUGUAAUCAGCACUCAUCUCCGAAGCAGAACAUAUCCCGCCCCGCAGAACCUCCCUGGUACAUCCUCCCCGUCACCCCAAGGUUAACACUCCUGACUUCCAGUCCCACAGAGAGUUGUUUAAAAAAUAAACUAACCAAUCUAUCCCUUUCCUUUUUCCUUUUUCUUCUUCCCUCCUCCCUCCCUCCCUCCCUCCCUUCCUUUCCUCCCUCCCUCCCUCCCUCUCCCCUUCCUUCAUCCCCUCACUCCCUCCUUCCUUUCUUACUGGUUCCACUCCCAUAUCGUUUAUUUGAGGUUUAUAGUAAGAGGUACAACAAGAGAGAAGGUAAAUGUCUUAACACAGUGCCUUGGGGGCAGUGUGAGGAGAGGGCCAAGUUGCUGAAAGACCCAACUCCAGACUGGCCACUGCCAGCUGUGAAGCCUGGGGCUUGUGACAGAACCUCACUGUGCCUCAGUUUCCUUAUCUGUGGAGUGAUAAUUCGACUGACUCCAAAGGAUGUUGGGAAGACUAAAUAAGGUAUUUUCACCUUAUACCUGCAAAGUGUUUAAGUGCACCUGUACCAGGAAGCCUGGGUAAAGGUCUGCCACAUAACUACGUUUCUUCAAGACGGGACUUGUGGACAGGAGAUGAGAAUCACUGCCAUUUGUUGAGGACCUACUGUGGGUCAGGGUUUUGCCUCUCAUCUGCAUGGCUGCCCUGCUAGGAGAGAUUAUUAUCUCCAUUUUAUAGACGAGGAAAUGAGGCCUGGAGAGGUAAAUCCUGAAGACAUAAGUUGGUAAGUGUUGCACCUGGAGCUGAAACCCAAGGAGAGUGUGGCUUGAAUGUCCACGUUCCCAGCCAGGGGGCCAGCCUUGUCCUAAUGUCUCCCAGCUGUGAGCUGAGCACCGUCCUCUGUGGGGGAUGUCCUUUGCUAUAGUCCUGUCCUCCCAGGGACUCAGUGCUGCCCCCCUUGAUGAGCUGGGGAAAUCCUCCUGGGGCAGGGGUGGGGCUCUGGGGAGGGGAUGAGUUGCCCAGGGCAGAGCAUGGAGGGGACCACCUGGCGGUAGAGGGUUCAGACCGCCCUGAGUGUGCGCAGUGCCUGGGCUUCCUGGAAGCACAACCUUCGGCCCGGGGAAGCUCUGGGGCCCUAGGCAGGGGUGGCCACUGGGGCGUUGGAGAAGAACAGCCUGCACCCUGCAGAGUCUCCUUGUAGGCCCUCAUGGGGUGGGGUCGGAGGGCACAGAGCAGGGCCAGGCAGGUCAAGCAUGGGGGUGUUGGUGACUCCUUCAGCUGGGGCAGGACUGGGGUGGUGCGAUUUGUCCCCCAUCCCUGCUGAGCGCUCAGUAAACAGCAGGUCAUAGAUGGGGCAGAUUCCUAAUGUGUCCCCUCCAACAGAGGGAGGGCUUAGCAAGCAGAGACUGUGUCCUCUCCAUCAGACUAGCUCCCCAGGCCAGUUCUGGGGCCCUGAGGCCUCCUUCCUGCCCAUCUCCUAGAACCAAUGCCUUGUGGUGUGGCCUCGGGGUGGAGGGCAAUAAGGGCACCCACCCCGCCCCCCGCUGGUGCCUCGGGCAGCCCCUCACAUCUCCGUGAGCCUGGAGGGAGCGCUGACAUCACCUGCCCUCUGGCUGGCCUCAACUGUCCCUACCCUGACCUCUGGGCUCCUUGGGGCCAGCCCGGACAUCUGUAUCCAUCUUGACCCAAACUCCGGAGAUUCUGACAAAUUUCCUUUCAUUGCUUGCAGCCAUGUUAUUUAAAGUAAUUAACCUUAAUUUAUAAAUUUUUAUAUCAAACUGCCUUUUAACUUUUAGAACUGCGGCAGCAGCUUAUCCCUGGGCUGCUAAUAGUUCUACAUUUAAUCAAAAUUCAUCCAUCAGGUUCCAGUGUUAAAUCAUCUUUUAAUUGGGAGUUACAUUCUGGUUAAUAGUUUUAUAAUUCGCCUCCUCUAAUAGUUUUUACCACAGGGAUCUCUACUCCAUUUUUCCUCACUCUAUUAUUGAGGGCGUGCGGUUCUGCGGGGACGGCUUCGCUGGGCCCCGCCUCUCUGGCCUCUGCUGGUCGUCGCCUCUUUUGUUCUUGGUGGUCUCAUUAAUUCCCGAGAAGAGUUCUCUCUCCUGCUCAUUACUAGGGCAGAACUACUCUGCUCGUUUCCACAACCUUCGGAGCUGUGUCCAGUACCUGCUUCUCUCCAAGAAGAAGCCAGAGCAACAGAAAGGGAGAGAGAGAGAGAGAUGGAGAUGGAGAGAUGAAGGGAAACACAGAGAGUGUGGAGAGGAAGGAAGGUUCUGGAGGCCUGCAGGUCCGGCCCACGGCGGACGGGCAGCGGACUGGGCGAGAGAAGCAGAGGAGUUUGGAGAUGGAUGCAGCCCCAGAACUGGCUCUUUCCUGACUCCUGGCCACCACCAACCAGCCAUGCCCCUUCCACUCAGGAGUUAAAGAUGCAGGAAGGAGAGUGGCCCCGCCCAAGACCCAGAGUGGCCAGGCCUGGAGCAUUCCUGGAGGUGGGCAGGGAAGUCCAGGCCACGUCGCAUUCACUCAGGAUGGCUCCAUCAAAAUCGUCCCAGAGGGCUUCCCUGGUGGCGCAGUGGUUGAGAGUCUGCCUGCCGAUGCAGGGGACACGGGUUCAUGCCCCGGUCCAGGAAGAUCCCACAUGCCGCGGAGCGGCUGGGCCUGUGAGCCAUGGCCGCUGAGCCUGCGCGUCCGGAGCCUGUGCUCCGCAAUGGGAGAGGCCACAACAGUGAGAGGCCCGCGUACCGCAAAAAAAAAAAAAAAAAAAAAAAAAAAUCGUCCCAGAGGAGCCAGCGGGCCUCCUGAUGGGCAGGAGGGGGAGGGCGUAGAGACCGCAGGAUCAGAAAGGGGAGAGAGGCCAGAGAGAGACAGGGCGGUGGCGGAGAGUCAAGAGCAAGAAAAGAAAGGAGAGGGAAGAGAAAGGGGAGAAAAAGGGCAAGAAAGGAAGGCAGACGGACAGCGGAGGGGUAGAGAGGACGGGUCCCUCCUGUCGGGAGCUCUGGUCGGUGAGCAGACAAGCCUGUGUGGGUGCACACACAUGCUCACACGAACCCACACGCUUGCACAGGCCUGAAACCAGGCCUAGAGGCGCCUCGUGCAGGGCUGAUGCUGGGCUAGGGGCCAGGCUCAGAGCCUGUGGGUGGGGAUCUCCGAGAAGGCAUCCAGGGGAGGUGGGCUGGCAAGGGUGAGGGAGGGGCUGGGGACCCAGGGCAUGGGCUGAGACUGCAGAUGUGGGCUUCCAUGGGGAAGCAGGACUUGGGGGCUGUCUCAACCCUGAAGUCAUGUCCUGCUGAGCCUCCCUCCUCAACCCCCUCCAGUUGGUGACUUUUCAUCUCAGUGGGUCUCAGCCCUGACUGCAUGUUAGAGUCACCUGGGGAAUGUUUAAAAUCCCAAGGCUCUGGCCCACCUCACACACUGUGGUGGUUUUAAAAUAUAUCUACAAAUUCUUUGAUGGUUCUGCUUCCAAAGAUGGAGUCAAAUUCCCUUCUCCUAGAACAGGGGUCCCUUCUAACCUACAAACAAAAAAAGCAGAGUGACAAUGUGUGAUUUAUGAUGUUAGGGCAUAAAAGGCACUGCGGUUUCCUUUUUGCACUCCCGUGGAUCACAUGGCCAGCUGCCAUGUCACAAAGACACUUAAGCAGCCCUACAGAGAGGCCCAUGUGACGAGAAACUGAGGCCUCCUGCCCAUAGCCAUGCGAAGGAGUCGUCUCAGCAGUGGAGACUCCAGCCCCAGUCAAGCCUUCUGAUGACGCAGCCCUGAGAGCCACCUGAACUACAGCCUCAUAAGAGAUCCUGAGUCGGGACCACCUGGCUAAGUUGCUCCUAGAUUCCUGACUCUCAGAAACCUGGUGAGAAAAGAAAUGUUGUUUUAAGGUGCUACAUGUUGGGGGGUAAUUUGUGAUGCAGCAACAGAUAACUAAUACACAUUCAUUCCAUCGGCAUCCCUGGGGGUGGGGCUGGACACAGGCAUGUUUCAAAGCUCCCCAGGUGACACCAGUGUGCAUCCAGGGUCGAGGACCCCUGCCCUAAGGCCUUUGUGUGCUUGUGAGAGGAUGUGUGCCUGUGACCUGGGUAUGUGCACACGCCAUGUGCAUGUAUACGGUGGGGGUGGGGGCACCACGACACAUGCAUUUGCCAGGAUGUGUAAGUACAAGCGUCCCCUCGUGUGCAUCCCUCUCGGAGUGGGUCAGUACAUUUGGCCCAGGUACCUGUGUCAGGACCCGGCUCAGGAAGGUCUGGAGCAUGGAAGGAGCCUUGGAGGUUUUGUGGCCAGACCCACAUGGGUCAUCCACCACUUCCUUUCUGUGAGCCCUCUCUGAGCCUCAGUUUCCUCAUUUGUGAAAUGGGGACACGCAGAUCACCAUUCUGCCCAGUCCUUCGAGGAGGUGCUAUUUGAGCUGGCUGCAUACCUCCUGGCCUGGUUUUGGCAAUAGUUUGGUAGCACCGGGUCUUUUGCUGUAAUGGCUCUUGGUGUAAUGAGAUCUGACGUGUAGCAGUGUAGACAUGAAAACAAUCAAGCGUGUGGCCCCCUCUGCAGGACGUGACCUGAAGGAGGGUCUGCGCUGGGGGACAUCCCUGGGGAUGGGGGUGGGGAGGGGGACAAUAUUAGUCAUGGCUGGGUUAGGCUUUGGGGUUUGAGGCCCAUAAUAGUCUUCCUCUCUCAAUGCCAAGCGGUUCGGAUGGGCAGGAUGAGAAGCGAGGUAGGCUGGUGGUUCCGGCUGAGUCGACACCCCUCUCGUCUGCGAGUCCCUGCUGAGCCUCUUUUCCUUGCUUGGCCUCGGUUUCCUCAUCUAUGAAGCGGAACAGCAAACCAUCUCCCACCUGUGCAUGUGAUAUACUGCGUCUCCCCACCAGAGCCCCUGGCUGGGAGGUUGGGAGAGGGGGGAUUCUGGGUGGGGGAAGCUCCCCUGGGCCUCUAGUCACCUGCAGACAGAACUGAUUCCCAACCCUGGCUCUUCCUUACUGUUUGACCUUAGGGAAGCCACCGCCCCUCUCUGGGCCUUGGCCAUCAUCGGUAGGUAACAACGCCUGCCUCGUGCGGGUAUGGAGACAAUGGACAAAGACGCUGCGUGGGGUGUGCCCUGCAUGGUAUGCAGCAUCCAAUAGAGGGCAAACUCGCUUGUCACAAGCUCCAGCCAAACUUUUUCAGGUGUAACGAGAAAACAACCGGAUGUCUUCUAUGGAAAGUGGCUUCUCAUUUCCAUGAGGAGGAGGGAGAAAUGGGGGAGGGGGAGAGGAAAGCAGCAUUUGUUGUGAGCCCACCAGGUGCCCCAGGGGCUCGGUGCUCAGACUGCCAGCCCGUUGUGGCAUCUUAACCUGGCGACGUUAAGGACAACUGAUCCCACUUUACAGACAAGAAACUGAGGCUCAGGAAGUUCAAGGAAUGUCCUUGCUCAGUGUCAUAUGGCUAAGGGGUGCAGAACCGGGCUGGAGCCCAGGUCCAGUGGCUGCAAAACCUGGGCUUUUCUGUGGGCACCUGAGGGCUGGGAGAUGUCCAGGCCGUGGGCCCCACCUGCUUCCAGUGGGAGCCGUUGACCUCAUUCCUUGUUCCCUCCAGAGGCUGUCACCAGGUUAGGGGUGGGUGGGUGGAAAUGAUGGUGGGAAGGUCAGUGAGAGGUGCUCAGGACCGCCCUGAAGCUUGAAGGAUUUAGGUUAGACUUGUGGGAAGAGUGCAGAUCCUGAGUGCCCAGGGUGGCAGAUGCAGGGAGCCUGUGGGGACCUCCUCCCUGGGGUGCCCAGGCUCCCCUCACAUGCAGCCAGUCUGAGCUUGGGAAGGGGGGCAAAGAGGAAGGGGCAGGGGGAUUGUCAGGUUGACCUCUGCAAGGACGCACCAGCCUGUGUUUCCGUGGAUGGGCCACUGCUGAGUCUGCUGGUGCAACUAGUUGGUCAAGUUCACAGGCUCCAGAUAUGAGCUUAUAUUCCAGCCCUCAGCACUUGUGAGCAGAGUGAUCCUGGACAAACCACCUAACUCCCUGUGCCUCAGUUUCCUUAUCUAUAAAAUGGGGAGAACAACCUGUGUCACGUGUGACCAUUAAAUGAGAUAAACUCUGCACAGCGUGUAGCCAGCUGCUGAGCGCAUAGAAAUCACGUGGUGUGUGGUAAUGACUGUUAUCCGUUGACUGAGAAGGCGUGGGGGAAGCAGCACACUCCCUGAGUCUGCAGUCCUGCCUGGGUCGUGCUGAGUGGUCUGAAUCCUACUUCUCCCUUUCUGUAAGAUCUUGAAAAAAGUCCACCAAAUCUCUCUGGGCCUCAGUUUCUUUAACUGCCAGCUGGGAACCAAGUUCCUGACCUUCUCUGGGGACGGAGAGACAUCAGUGGCUAGAAGUGUGCUGUAGAUGCUCUGGGUGUGAGCAGACAGAGCCCAUCCCUCAUCUGAUUCACUUGGGCCCCUUACAAUAAUUUUUGUCCUCACUCCCCCGUAACAAAUUGAAAAAAUAUUUACUGAAACCCUCUCUGUGCCAGGCACUCUGCCUCUGCCACCAGAGUUACCACGAGCACUUGCUGGGUGCCAGCUCCAUGUUCUAAACACCACACAGCCAUCUGUAACCUGUGGGCGUGGGAGACGGUCGCUCCCACUGUGCAGAUGGGGACGAUGCAGUUUGAGCUCUUAGGGAAACUGCUGAGGGUCACAGGAAGACAGUCACCCAGCCGUGAUUCGAACCCACCUUUUUCUGCCUCCAAAGGCCCAUCUCCCACUCCCUCCAUCCUAUCACUUCCUGUGGAACCCACAGGUACUCCUGGGAGCUCAGGAUUCUUGUGGUUUCUGUAAAUGAGCCGUGGAGAUUCCCAGAGGCUAAAUACCUGUCCAAUGCCCUUCCACGGGCAGGUGGCCAAGUUUACCCCCAAACUCAGGUUCCUCUGACCCUGGAGCCCUGUUCCCUCUUGCCCCAGUGACUCCUCCCCACUGUGGGACACAGAUUCCUUUUAGUCCUAGUCUCUGUUUUCCUGUUUUCUUUGUGACUUUGGGUCCCCGAAACAAGCCUCUGAUCUCCAGCGACUCUGCUCGUUGGGGAACUUUGUAACUUACAGGGUCACCUGGGGAAGAGCUCCGUGCGUUGACACCGAGGAUUGUUCAAGAAGGCGUCACAGUCCCCACAGCACAUUAGCCAACCCUGGCCCUUAGUGUUGAUAGGAAAACUCUCACUGAGCCCAUUUCACAGAUGAAACAGCUGAUGCUCAGAGAGCCUGAGUGGGACCCGGCCAUCAAGGCGUUGGAGCAGCUGAGACUCUGGUCUCUGGCAGAAUGAGAGGGGCUGAAGUCAGUGAUGGAGUGAAGGAGUAGAGGAGAAGAGGCAGAAGGAUUGGAAACUCACCGAGAAACAGAGACCGGGAGACAGAAGCAGGAAAGAAGGAGAAAGACCAGGGAGAGACAACAGCAGCCUGACCUGAAGCUGUAGGUCCCAAUCAAACAGGGAGGCAAAGCUUGCAUCCCUGGAGCAGUGGCCAGGCCCCAGGUUCUCCGUUUCCAUGGGGAAGAAUUUGGACUCAGCUGCACAGGGAGAAACCCAGCUUCCCCUUUUGGUGAUGGAGGGGGGUCAGGCAGGGCUUCUCCAGGCCAGGGUCCCCCCACUUCUCCCACCCAGAUCCAGCCUCUCUCUCCCCACCCAGGCUCUCCCACCCUCUGGCUCCCGACCGGGGAGAAGCUGCUGGUUCCUAAGACACGAUUCCCAAGGCCAUGCGCUGCCAGGCUACAGCCUUAGAAGGAAUCACCUUUCUGUCUCACAGAUGGGGAACUGGGGCCCUGGCAGGAGCUCUGCUCAGAUUUGCGUAGAUGAAGCUGGACCGCAGCUUAGAGUAAUGACGCAGCUCCGGGCCCACUGAUGCCGAGUUCCGGCUGGGCUUUCGUUUUUCGAUUAUCCUGGGAAACGGGGGCACGGAUUCAGGCCCCCUUUCAUCCCCAACACCACACAAGUGACUUUCUGGUGGGGAAGUGAGUGAGGCUGAGAGGCACAGGGGUGUAGGGGAAGGGCAGGAAGCCUUUAUCAGAGGUCUCCUGGGAGCGGGCGUUUUAUAUCCCUGCCCUUUUGACCAUCACCAUCUGUGGGGCAGAAAUUAUUACUCUCAUUUUACACGUGAGGAAUGCUGGACUCAGAAAGGUUAAUUAAAUUGCCCAAGGUCAUUCAGCCAGUGAUGACGGAAAUCGGGAUUCGAAUCCAAGUCUGGUCCCAAAGUCUGGCUUUUUCCAUGCUGCUGUGUGCAUGGGAAUAGGACCGGGCCUGGAGAGAGGGACACAGUCCAGGCAUUGGUGGGGGGAGGGGGCUGGGUGCGGCGGUGCAGGGCGUGUCCUCAGACCUGGAAAACCUCAGCUAGAACCCUGGAUUUGUCACUCUUCACCCAGGCGAGGUUGGGCAAGUCCCUUCUCCUCUCUGAGCCAUACGUGGAUGGAGUGGCUGUGAGGUGCCUUCUCCCGGGUGUUUGGUGAGUGAGUGAAUGAAAGGCAGGUGAAGGCGUGAGGAGGAAGGCCACUUAUUUUAACUUGGGUCUAAGGCUGGAGCGCCAUCUUUGGCUGGGGACAGAGUCCCUGCAGGUGCCCAGCCCCCGAAUCUCCGCCCCUCUCAGUCCUAAAUGAGGACCUAAAUGAGGUCCCCCAGCCUUCCCCUUGCACUACCCAGAGUCAGGAGAUCCAGCUGAUAUGUGGUGAAUGGCAGUGCACGUCCUGGUGGCCCUGAUUCUGGUGGCUCCCUGUCACGCUGUGGUAUCCCCUCCCCAGUGAAGUCACCCUGAGGUCUCUCUUUCUGGGCUAGGUUAGUUGCUCUUAAUUAAACCAGUUGUUGGACUGAAUGCCCUCCCUAUUAACAUGUCUCCUAGACCUAUUAAUCCCCCACCAGUGGAGGAAGAGGAUGGGAGGUGUGGGGGAGGGGAGGGCAGAGGGUCCUAAAAACCAAGCCAAGGGCUUCUCUGGUGGCGCAGUGGUUGAGAAUCCGCCUGCCAAUGCAGGGGACACGGGUUCAAGCCCUGGUCUGGGAAGAUCCCACCCGCCACAGAGCAAGUAAGCCCGUGCAUCACAACUACUGAGCCUGCGCUCUAGAGCCCGCGAGCCACAACGACUGAGCCCGUGUGCCACAACUACUGAAGCCUGCAUGCCUAGAGCCUAUGCUCCGCAACAAGAGAAGCCCGUGCACCGCAACAAAGAGUAGCCCCCACUCGCCACAACUAGAGAAAAGUCCGUGUGCAGCAACAAAGACCCAAUGUAGCCAAAAUAAAUAAAUAAAUUAAUUUAAAAAAACAAAAAAAAACAAGCCAAGCUGCCUUCUGGAAAAAAGAAGGCUCCUGAGAGACUCAAGCCCACCCCUUUUUCCCUCUUGGGAGGCUUGGAAACGUUCAUUCCAGCCUCAGAAUUCCUGGAAGCCGUCUGCAUCUGCAUCCCAAGAGGUUCAGCUGAGGACUUUUAGCAGCCAUGACCCUUGGGACCACUUUCCCACUCAGCUUCCUUUGAGCCUCUGGGGCUGGGCUAGCGAGAGUGGAAGUGACUGCAUGCGUUCGAGGUGGGGGUCAAGGGCUUACCUGUGAGGCCAGAAGGGAAGGCUGCGUGGGAGCAAGGCUUCCAGUUGCAGAGCCAGGGUUAUCCCGGCCUUACCCAUGCAUGCCCGUCCCAGUUCUGUUCCCUCUGCAGAUCCCUGGGGCCAGGUGGGGCUCCCCAAACACCUCAUGUCUCUGCUCAGGCCUUCCUGGGGGUGGGUGGACCUGGAGGCAUAUAUUGGGCCCAUGCAUGGAUGCUCAGACUUCUGGUCGACCUCCCCCUCAUGGCUUCUUCCUUUCUCCUUCCCUCCCAGCUGGCCCUGCCCUGCUCUGCCCCAGUGUCAGGGGCCAGCUGGGGCAGGGAGGGAGCCAGGGUGGGGCCAGCAGAAGGUGCAUAAAUCAUUAUUGGCGAAGACCUCAGCCCUGAGCCGCCGGGUGGAGGCUGCCGUUCAGAGUCAGGCCAGGGCAUAAAUCAUAAUUCCCCUACAAUAGAUCCUUCUGCAGCCGCCAUCAGGAAAACUCUGUUGGUUUUAUCGAUUUUUUGACACGGGGGCCUAGGCAGCGGGCGGCUCCUGAAUCAUUAUGAAAUGAAACUGAUUAGGAAUUCAUGGAAUACUAAAUAAACUUUACGAGCCCAUUGUAAGUUUUUUGAUGCAUGGGGAGCGGAAAAUGAAAACUAAUGAUAUAAAAAUUA